rnacentral:rRNA from 3 species
GGGUUGUGAGGUUAAGCGACUAAGCGUACACGGUGGAUGCCCUGGCAGUCAGAGGCGAUGAAGGGCGUGCUAAUCUGCGAUAAGCGCCGGUAAGGUGAUAUGAACCGUUAUAACCGGCGAUACCCGAAUGGGGAAACCCAGUGUGACUCGUCACACUAUCAUUAACUGAAUCCAUAGGUUAAUGAGGCGAACCGGGGGAACUGAAACAUCUAAGUACCCCGAGGAAAAGAAAUCAACCGAGAUUCCCCCAGUAGCGGCGAGCGAACGGGGAGGAGCCCAGAGCCUGAAUCAGCAUGUGUGUUAGUGGAAGCGUCUGGAAAGGCGCGCGAUACAGGGUGACAGCCCCGUACACAAAAGCGCAUGUGCUGUGAGCUCGAUGAGUA